GAUGAACGCGGCGGCGCGCCUAACACAUGCAAGUCGAACGGUUAAAGCACCUUUUAGGUGUGUAUAAAGUGGCGAACGGCUGAGUAACACGUGGGCAACCUGCCCUCCUCUUGGGGAUAGCCUCGGGAAACCGAGGAUAAUACCCGAUACUUCAAUGUGGCCGCAUGACGACAUUGAGAAAGCUUUUGCGGAGAAGGAUGGGCCCGCGGCCUGUUAGCUUGUUGGUGGGGUAGAGGCCUACCAAGGCAAUGAUGGGUAGCUGGGUUGAGAGACCGACCAGCCAGAUUGGGACUGAGACACGGCCCAGACUCCUACGGGAGGCAGCAGUGGGGAAUCUUGCACAAUGGGCGAAAGCCUGAUGCAGCGACGCCGCGUGCGGGACGAAGGCCUUCGGGUUGUAAACCGCUUUCAGCAGGGACGAGGCGAAAGUGACGGACCUGCAGAAGAGCCC
rnacentral:rRNA from 2 species